UCAGAGGAAUCCCUUGACACAAGAAAAAACUCACGUCACUUCCUACAAUAAUACAACUGGGACAUUGCAAAUACCCAACUUCUAGAAUCUGUCAGGAAGAGUAAUCUACAUGUAUUUAAUUCUCUCCUGCACAUGUUGAAUGACUAAAUUGUGCAAAUAUAUUUGAAUGCUUUUUUUAGAAAUCACUAUACUUCUUUGUUAGGUUACUUAAUUUUUAGCAUAAACCCACCAAAUCCCAUGUCAAUUGUACUCUUUUUGAGGGUAGGGUUCACAACUGUGUAUAUGUAAAGUUUUUAGUCUCAAGAUUUCUUUAAAGUGGUAAACAGUCAUGCUGCAGACUCAUAAACUGUGUAAAUUCAUACAAAAGUUUA
rnacentral:lncRNA from 1 species